GACGAACGCUGGCGGCGUGCUUAACACAUGCAAGUCGAACGGAAAGGCCCUGCUUUUGUGGGGUGCUCGAGUGGCGAACGGGUGAGUAACACGUGAGUAACCUGCCCUUGACUUUGGGAUAACUUCAGGAAACUGGGGCUAAUACCGGAUAGGAGCUCCUGCUGCAUGGUGGGGGUUGGAAAGUUUCGGCGGUUGGGGAUGGACUCGCGGCUUAUCAGCUUGUUGGUGGGGUAGUGGCUUACCAAGGCUUUGACGGGUAGCCGGCCUGAGAGGGGGACCGGCCACAUUGGGACUGAGAUACGGCCCAGACUCCUACGGGAGGCAGCAGUGGGGAAUAUUGCACAAUGGGCGGAAGCCUGAUGCAGCAACGCCGCGUGCGGGAUGACGGACUUCGGGUUGUAAACCGCUUUGGCCUGUGACGAAGCGUGAGUGACGGUAAUGGGUAAAGAAGCACCGGCUAACUACGUG
rnacentral:rRNA from 1 species